rnacentral:snRNA from 1 species
GUGCUCACUUCAGCAGCAUGUACACUAAAAUUGAAACAACACAGAGAAGAUGGCAUGGCCCAUAAGCAAAUCUGUGAAGCAUUCCAUAUUUUU